rnacentral:rRNA from 1 species
GACGAACGCUGGCGGCGUGCUUAACACAUGCAAGUCGAGCGGUAAGGCCCUUUCGGGGGUACACGAGCGGCGAACGGGUGAGUAACACGUGGGUGACCUGCCUCUAGCUCUGGGAUAAGCCCGGGAAACUGGGUCUAAUACUGGAUAUGACUCCAUGACGCAUGUUGUGGGGUGGAAAGCCUUGUGCGGCUAGAGAUGGGCCCNCGGCCUAUCAGCUUGUUGGUGGGGNGAUGGCCUACCAAGGCGACGACGGGUAGCCGGCCUGAGAGGGCGACCGGCCACACUGGGACUGAGACACGGCCCAGACUCCUACGGGAGGCAGCAGUGGGGAAUCUUGCGCAAU